AACUGCAUGUAAAUGUAGUCACCUGCAUUUUGAUGCAAGAAAACAAGUCACUGUAUAGAGGGCACAAAGAUAUGUUUGACGCAAUAUUUGCUGCAGUGAGAUUUUGAAAAAAUAAAAGAAGCAUGUCAUAAAAAAUAAAAGCAAAUGUGUGCACUGAAUACACAUGCAUGCAUGCAUGUGCUCACACAGACACAUGUCAUGUGUGCACAUGUUUG
rnacentral:misc_RNA from 1 species